AGACGUCUACAUUAGAUACCCGCGUAGUCCCAGCCGUAAACUAUGCGCGUUAGGUGUAUCGGUGACCACGAGUUACCGAGGUGCCGAAGGGAAACCGUGAAACGUGCCGCCUGGGAAGUACGGUCGCAAGGCUGAAACUUAAAGGAAUUGGCGGGGGAGCACCGCAACGGGAGGAGCGUGCGGUUUAAUUGGAUUCAACACCGUAAAACUCACCAGGGAAGACUGUUACAUGAAAGCCGAGUUGAAGACUCUGCUAGAUUUUCAG
rnacentral:rRNA from 1 species